CCAAUCGAACUCGGAGAUAGCUGGUUCUCCCCGAAAUAGCUUUAGGGCUAGCCUCGAUUUAGAUUACCGGGGGUAGAGCACUGAAUGGGCUAGGGGGCCACAAAGCUUACCGAACCCUAUCAAACUUCGAAUACCGGAUAAUUGAUGAUCGGGAGUCAGACAGUGUGAGAUAAGUUUCAUUGUCGAAAGGGAAACAGCCCAGAUCUACGACUAAGGUCCCAAAGUUCAAGUUAAGUGGAAAAGGAUGUGCAAUUGCGUAGACAACCAGGAUGUUGGCUUAGUAGCAGCCAUUCAUUCAAAGAGUGCGUAAUAGCUCACUGGUCGAGUGAUUGUGCGCCGAAAAUGUAACGGGGCUAAACUUGACACCGAAGUCUAGGCAGAAGGAAACUUCUGGGUAGGGGAGCAACGUGUACGGGCAGAAGCAGAAGCGGAAGCGACUGUGGACUGUACAGGAGAGAGAAUGCCGGCAUGAGUAGCGAGAGCAAAGUGAGAAUCUUUGCCGUCGAAAGCCUAAGGUUUCCUGAGGAAGGCUCGUCCUCUCAGGGUAAGUCGGGACCUAAGCCGAGGACAAUAGUCGUAGGCGAUGGACAAUCGGUUAAUAUUCCGAUACCGCCGAGCAACCGGAUGCAGUGACACAGAAGGAUAGGCAGAGCGUGGCGAUGGUAGACCAUGUCCAAGCAGUGAGGCUGUUGUGUAGUGAAGUACGCACAACGGAAGGCUGGGCUGUGAUGGGGAACGAUUACGAUCGGUAAGCUGCUGAAUUCACGCUGGCGAGAAAAGCUGCUACGAAGCGAAGGCGCCCGUACCGCAAACCGACACAGGUAGGCGAGGAGAGAAUCCUAAGACGAGCGGGAGAACCCUUGUUAAGGAACUCGGCAAAAUGACUCCGUAACUUAGGGAGAAGGAGUGCCCAGGAAUGGGCCGCAGAGAAUAGACCCAAGCGACUGUUUACCAAAAACACAGGUCUGUGCGAAGUAGAGAUACGACGUAUACGGGCUGACACCUGCCCAGUGCCGGAAGGUUAAGGGGAAAUGUUAGGGCAACCGAAGCAUGGAACUUAAGCCCCGGUGAACGGCGGCCGUAACUAUAACGGUCCUAAGGUAGCGAAAUUCCUUGUCGGGUAAGUUCCGACCCGCACGAAUGGUGUAACGAUUUGGGUACUGUCUCAACAAGGGACCCGGCGAAAUUGUAGUAUGUGUGAAGAUGCACAUUACCCGCGAUAGGACGGAAAGACCCCGUAGAGCUUUACUGUAGUUUAACAUUGGAUUCCGGUAACAUAUGCACAGGAUAGGUGGGAGGCGGAGAAGCAGUGAUUUCGGUUGCUGCAGAGCCGACGUUGGGAUACCACUCUUGUGUUACUGGGGUUCUAACCUGUGGCCGUGAUCCGGCACAGGAACAGUGUUAGAUGGGCAGUUUGACUGGGGCGGUCGCCUCCAAAAGAGUAACGGAGGCGUCCAAAGGUUCCCUCAGAAUGGUUGGAAACCAUUCGAAGAGUACAAAGGCAGAAGGGAGCCUGACUGCGAGACCGACAGGUCGAGCAGGGACGAAAGUCGGGCUUAGUGAUCCGGCGGUAUAGAGUGGAAUUGCCGUCGCUCAACGGAUAAAAGCUACCUCGGGGAUAACAGGCUUAUCUCCCCCAAGAGUCCACAUCGACGGGGAGGUUUGGCACCUCGAUGUCGGCUCGUCGCAUCCUGGGGCUGGAUUAGGUCCCAAGGGUUUGGCUGUUCGCCAAUUAAAGCGGCACGCGAGCUGGGUUCAGAACGUCGUGAGACAGUUCGGUCCCUAUCCAUCGUGGGCGCAGGAGAUUUGAGAAGAGCUGUCCUCAGUACGAGAGGACCGGGAUGGACGCACCAAGGGUGUAUCAGUUGUCACGCCAGUGGCACAGCUGGGUAGCCAAGUGCGGAUCGGAUAAACGCUGAAGGCAUCUAAGCGUGAAGCCGACUUCAAGAUAAGAUCUCCCAUCCGCAAGGAGUAAGGCCCCAUGUAGACCACAUGGUUGAUAGGUCGCAGGUGGAAGUGCAGUAAUGUACGCAGCUGAGCGAUACUAAUAGGCCGAGGGCUUGAUCAA
rnacentral:rRNA from 1 species